ensembl:lncRNA
GUUUAUGAUUUUACAACGUAUAUCUCAUGAGUUAUUGAUGCCGGAAUUCCGAAUCUGUGAAUAUCUUGCCAACUUUACCUAACUCAAGUGUGGAGCCAAACGACAACAAGAUUCUCAGAGGGCGGAGCCAGAGAGCAGUGAUUGGUCAGACCAUAGACGUAUAGAAGACAGCGCGCUAGCGGAUCUAGUCUGCUAUAUAUGUCUAUGGUCGGAACGUGUGGUAGCAUCUCUGGCUGCUGUUGACCUUGUUUUUGGAGUAAAACACGGUGGAAGCUGAAUUAGUGAGGAUGACUCCUGCUCCUGUCAUCUCUAAGCUCCUCACACAUCUUUUACCUGCACAUGAGGAAAAUCACUCCUGUAGAAUGCAGUGGUUCAUCAGAACCUCUGGGGAUGUCCUGUGGAUUCUGUGGAUCCUGUGGGUUGCAGGGUGGGUCCUACCUAGACCAGGCUGAUCCUGGACCAUCCCACAGAUGCUCCAUCAGAUCUGGAUGUGGGGAGUGUGGAACCCAGGUGAACAG